rnacentral:tRNA from 1 species
UGUAAUAUGCCUGAAAAAGGAUUAUUUUGAUAGAAUAAAACAUGUGUUUAUUUACACUAUUACAA